GCUCAGAUUGAACGCUAGCGGGAUGCCUUACACAUGCAAGUCGAACGGCAGCACGGACUUCGGUCUGGUGGCGAGUGGCGAACGGGUGAGUAAUGUAUCGGAACGUGCCUAGUAGCGGGGGAUAACUACGCGAAAGCGUAGCUAAUACCGCAUACGCCCUACGGGGGAAAGCAGGGGAUCGUAAGACCUUGCACUAUUAGAGCGGCCGAUAUCGGAUUAGCUAGUUGGUGGGGUAAUGGCUCACCAAGGCGACGAUCCGUAGCUGGUUUGAGAGGACGACCAGCCACACUGGGACUGAGACACGGCCCAGACUCCUACGGGAGGCAGCAGUGGGGAAUUUUGGACAAUGGGGGAAACCCUGAUCCAGCCAUCCCGCGUGUGCGAUGAAGGCCUUCGGGUUGUAAAGCACUUUUGGCAGGAAAGAAACGCCGCGGGUUAAUACCCUGCGGAACUGACGGUACCUGCAGAAUAAGCACCGGCUAACUACGUGCCAGCAGCCGCGGUAAUACGUAGGGUGCAAGCGUUAAUCGGAAUUACUGGGCGUAAAGCGUGCGCAGGCGGUUCGGAAAGAAAGAUGUGAAAUCCCAGAGCUUAACUUUGGAACUGCAUUUUUAACUACCGAGCUAGAGUGUGUCAGAGGGAGGUGGAAAUUCCGCGUGUAGCAGUGAAAUGCGUAGAUAUGCGGAGGAACACCGAUGGCGAAGGCAGCCUCCUGGGAUA
rnacentral:rRNA from 1 species